UACGUAGGGUGCAAGCGUUGUCCGGAAUUAUUGGGCGUAAAGAGCUCGUAGGCGGUCUGUCGCGUCGGCUGUGAAAACUCGGGGCUCAACCCCGAGCCUGCAGUCGAUACGGGCAGACUAGAGUGCGGUAGGGGAGACUGGAAUUCCUGGUGUAGCGGUGAAAUGCGCAGAUAUCAGGAGGAACACCAAUGGCGAAGGCAGCACUCUGGGACGUGACUGACGCUGAGACGCGAAAGCGUGGGGAGCAAACAGG
rnacentral:rRNA from 1 species